rnacentral:tRNA from 1 species
GGUCUGGUAGCUCAGUUGGAUAGAGCAGCAGAUUUCUAAUCUGCCGGUCACAGGUUCGAGCCCUGUCCACAUCACCA